GACGUAGGAGGCGAGCGUUAUCCGGAUUCACUGGGCGUAAAGGGCGCGUAGGCGGCCUGAUAAGUAGGGGGUGAAAUCCUGCGGCUUAACCGCAGGGCUGCCUUCUAAACUGUCGGGCUUGAGCACAGUAGAGGCAGGUGGAAUUCCCGGUGUAGCGGCGGAAUGCGUAGAGAUCGGGAAGAACAUCAGUGGCGAAGGCGGCCUGCUGGGCUGUUGCUGACGCUGAGGCGCGACAGCGUGGGGAGCAAACAGG
rnacentral:rRNA from 1 species